AGACGGGUAGCUGGUCUGAGAGGACGACCAGCCACAUCGGGACUGAGACACUGCCCGGACCUCCACGGAGGGCUGCAGCAACGAAUAUUCCGCAAUGCGCGCAAGCGUGACGGAGCGACGCCGCGUGUAGGACGAAGCCCCUCGGGGUGUAAACUACUGUCAGGAGAAACCAAUCAAAGGGGUCAAAUAGCCCCCGGCGAUGAGGGAAUCCAGAGGAAGCCACGGCUAACUCUGUGCCAGCAGCCGCGGUAAGACAGAGGUGGCAAGCGUUGUUCGGAAUUACUGGGCUUAAAGGGUGUGUAGGCGGUUAAGUAAGCAACUUGUGAAAGCUCCAGGCUCAACCUGGGAAUUGCAAGUUGUACUGCUUGACUUGAGGCGCGUAGGGGUCAACGGAACUCUGGGUGGAGCGGUGAAAUGCGUAGAUAUCCAGGGGAACGCCAGUGGCGAAGGCGGUUGACUGGGCGCGUCCUGACGCUGAGGCACGAAAGCGUGGGUAGCGAACGGGAUUAGAUACCCCGGUAGUCCACGCCCUAAACGAUGUAUACUGGCUUCAGGGACUUCUGACAGUUUCUGGAGCGUAGGGAAACCGUUAAGUAUACCGCCUGGGAAGUACGGUCGCAAGAUUAAAACUCAAAGGAAUUGACGGGGGCUCACACAAGCGGUGGAGCAUGUGGCUUAAUUCGAAGCAACGCGAAGAACCUUACCCGGGUUUGACAUGCUUGGAUGCCCGCCGGGGAUAACUCGGUUGGGCUGCCCUUCGGGGUGAAACUUGCACAGGUGUUGCAUGGCUGUCGUCAGCUCGUGCUGUGAAGUGUCGGGUUAAGUCCCUUAACGAGCGAAACCCCUGUCGCUAGUUGCCAGCGCGUAAUGGCGGGGACUCUAGCGAGACUGCCGG
rnacentral:rRNA from 1 species